GUCUUAUCCUAUGCCAGUCAAAUCUAAUAGCUGGAUACCAAUAGCCUACGUUCUUUCAAGUCAACCAACCCAGCCAUUAAUGAUAACAGGUUUUCAAAAACGUGAAAUGAAUUCUUUUUUGUUACCUUGUUUCCAAACCUUUUAUUUCUCCUUUCAUUCAGUCCGGAGGCUUUAGCCGAAAGUUCUCCAGCGCUUGACGAACCAAAUCUGGGAUUCCUCCCACCAGGUAAAAACUUCCUUUUCUCUUUAGGGCCUCCUUUGCAAUAAGAUGAGUGUAGACAUUCUUUGCUUUAGGGACAAAAUGAAACUCAUUCUCCUGGAACUUGUCUUUUUUGCUUUGUAUGUCCCUGAUAAUUGCUCCAAUGACCGAUUUAUUUGUAUCAGUACUUUGACAUUUCUUAAUAACAGUUUUUGAAUCUUCCACUACUUCCAUUUUAUUUAAUCCCAUAAAAAUCCCUAAUUUUACUGCCUAUAAACCUUCAUAUGCUUCUGCCGUGAACGGAGUUGCCAUCUUAGAGUGAAGGACUGCCUUCGAUGCUAGGAUCUCCCCCUCCUCAUUCCGUAUGAGCAAGCCCGUAGCUGAUCUGGACGAUUGAUGGUGUCGAACUGAACUCCCUUCUCCUUCUACCUACCUGUUGAUUAUUACCAGUGGACUGAAGAAUUAACCAAAGUCUACAGUAGAAAAGCCGGAUCUGCUCAUUAGUCCUUUGAUCGAAGACGCAGGGCACUGUUGGAAAAUAUGGCUGCUGUCUUCUUCAUUUUGACGACACCUAGGGCAUUGAGCUUCCACCACAACUCUCUUAAGUCUGAGUUUAACAAGGGACGGAAUGAAGUUCCAUGAGAUUCUCCAUACUGAAUUAGAAUUUUUAAGGGGAUGUAUAAUUUCCAUAGUUUCCUAUAGAAAUUUUUAAUUUUGGCAUGUAAAAUAAAAGUAUUAGGAUCUAAGCUAGUCUCUUGCAAUAGUUUAUAAGCACUCCUAACGGAGAAAUCCCCUGUAACACCGUCAGAAUUUACAGAAUAAUUACACAUAAUUCUAUUAUUUGCUCAUAUUCCAGUCAA